rnacentral:tRNA from 2 species
GGGCGCGUAGCUCAACGGCAGAGCACGAAGCUUAUACCUUCGCGGUUCUAGGUUCGAAUCCUAGCGCGCCCACCC